CAAGUAUUAAGGCAAUUUGCCUGGAUUUGUGGGAGGUGCUUGGUAUCCACUCCUAGCCUACUUAAGGCACACCCCUUACCUUGCUCCUUACCGUUCGAGGUCAGCGUUGAAUGACCCUCCCACCACACCACAUUUUAACAUUUAUUUCCUUUCUAUUUUCUUUUUCCUGGGUAGGCCCUCUUCUUUCUCAGGCCUACCUCAUCGUCGGUUCUGGCACACCACAACCGACUUGCCCUUUUU